AUUACUAAGCCAACGUCAGCGCUUUUUAGACACACCAGCGAGAGCAAAAAAGGUCUAUAUAAACUAAAGAUAUAGGCUCCUUUUUCAGUUGCACUUCCAGAAGUCUCUCCAGUGCCAGGUCUAAAGACUUGUAAACAGAAACGAGGCAUUAGCCUUUGUUUAAAAAAAAAGACAAAAUUUUACGGUAACUGAAAUAUUUUUGUGAAUUUUAAUAUAAAUAUUAGCAGCUUAGAAAUUAGUUGCUAAAUUAAAAAAAAAAAGAAAUUGUGGAAUUUAUAAUACGAGCGUAUUUGCGCUGUUUUAGAGCUAU
rnacentral:sRNA from 1 species